AGUAGGGGUUCUGAGAGGAAGGUCCCCCACAUUGGAACUGAGACACGGUCCAAACUCCUACGGGAGGCAGCAGUGAGGAAUAUUGGUCAAUGGGCGAGAGCCUGAACCAGCCAAGUAGCGUGCAGGAUGACGGCCCUAUGGGUUGUAAACUGCUUUUAUAGGGGAAUAAAGUGAGCCACGUGUGGUUUUUUGCAUGUACCCUAUGAAUAAGGACCGGCUAAUUCCGUGCCAGCAGCCGCGGUAAUACGGAAGGUCCGGGCGUUAUCCGGAUUUAUUGGGUUUAAAGGGAGCGUAGGCCGGAGAUUAAGCGUGUUGUGAAAUGUAGAUGCUCAACAUCUGCACUGCAGCGCGAACUGGUUUCCUUGAGUACGCAUAAAGUGGGCGGAAUUCGUGGUGUAGCGGUGAAAUGCUUAGAUAUCACGAAGAACUCCGAUUGCGAAGGCAGCUCACUGGGGCGCAACUGACGCUGAAGCUCGAAAGCGCGGGUAUCGAACAGGAUUAGAUACCCUGGUAGUCCGCGCGGUAAACGAUGGAUGCCCGCUGUUGGGCCAACUGGUUCAGCGGCCAAGCGAAAGCAUUAAGCAUCCCACCUGGGGAGUACGCCGGCAACGGUGAAACUCAAAGGAAUUGACGGGGGCCCGCACAAGCGGAGGAACAUGUGGUUUAAUUCGAUGAUACGCGAGGAACCUUACCCGGGCUUGAAUUGCAGAGGAAGGAUUUGGAGACAAUGACGCCCUUCGGGGCCUCUGUGAAGGUGCUGCAUGGUUGUCGCCAGCUCGUGCCGUGAGGUGUCGGCUUAAGUGCCAUAACGAGCGCAACCCCUCUCCAUAGUUGCCAUCAGGUGAAGCUGGGCACUCUGUGGACACUGCCACCGUAAGGUGCGAGGAAGGUGGGGAUGACGUCAAAUCAGCACGGCCCUUACGUCCGGGGCUACACACGUGUUACAAUGGCAGGUACAGAGAGCCGGUCGUAUGCAAAUACGAUCCAAUCCUUAAAGCCUGUCUCAGUUCGGACUGGGGUCCGCAACCCGACCCCACGAAGCUGGAUUCGCUAGUAAUCGCGCAUCAGCCAUGGCGCGGUGAAUACGUUCCCGGGCCUUGUACACACCGCCCGUCAAGCCAUGAAAGCCGGGGGCGCCUGAAGUCCGUGACCGCAAGGAGCGGCCUAGGGCGAAACUGGUAAUUGGGGCUAAGUCGUAACAAGGUA
rnacentral:rRNA from 1 species